rnacentral:rRNA from 1 species
UACGGAAGGCAGCAGUGGGGAAUAUUGCACAAUGGGCGCAAGCCUGAUGCAGCCAUGCCGCGUGUAUGAAGAAGGCCUUCGGGUUGUAAAGUACUUUCAGUCGUGAGGAAGGUGUUAAGGUUAAUAACCUUAGCAAUUGACGUUAGCGACAGAAGAAGCACCGGCUAACUCCGUGCCAGCAGCCGCGGUAAUACGGAGGGUGCGGGCGUUAAUCGGAAUUACUGGGCGUAAAGGGCACGCAGGCGGUUAAUUAAGUUGGAUGUGAAAUCCCCGGGCUUAACCUGGGAAUGGCAUUCAAGACUGGUUAGCUAGAGUCUUGUAGAGGGGGUAGAAUUCCAUGUGUAGCGGUGAAAUGCGUAGAGAUGUGGAGGAAUACCGGUGGCGAAGGCGGCCCCUGGACAAAGACUGACGCUCAUGUGCGAAAGCUGGGGAGCAAACAGGGAUUAGAUACC